rnacentral:rRNA from 1 species
UACAGAGGUCCCGAGCGUUGUUCGGAUUCACUGGGCGUAAAGGGUGCGUAGGUGGCUGGGAAAGUUUGAUGUGAAAGCUCAGGGCUUAACCCUGAAAUGGCAUUGAAUACUGCCUGGCUGGAGGUUUGGAGGGGGGACUGGAAUUCUUGGUGUAGCAGUGAAAUGCGUAGAUAUCAAGAGGAACACCAGUGGCGAAGGCGAGUCCCUGGACAACACCUGACACUGAGGCACGAAAGCCAGGGGAGCAAACGGG